GAUGAACGCUGGCGGCGUGCCUAAUACAUGCAAGUCGAGCGAACAGACGAGGAGCUUGCUCCUCUGACGUUAGCGGCGGACGGGUGAGUAACACGUGGAUAACCUACCUAUAAGACUGGGAUAACUUCGGGAAACCGGAGCUAAUACCGGAUAAUAUAUUGAACCGCAUGGUUCAAUAGUGAAAGACGGUUUUGCUGUCACUUAUAGAUGGAUCCGCGCCGCAUUAGCUAGUUGGUAAGGUAACGGCUUACCAAGGCAACGAUGCGUAGCCGACCUGAGAGGGUGAUCGGCCACACUGGAACUGAGACACGGUCCAGACUCCUACGGGAGGCAGCAGUAGGGAAUCUUCCGCAAUGGGCGAAAGCCUGACGGAGCAACGCCGUGUGAGUGAUGAAGGUCUUCGGAUCGUAAAACUCUGUUAUUAGGGAAGAACAAAUGUGUAAGUAACUAUGCACGUCUUGACGGUACCCAAUCAGAAAGCCACGGCUAACUACGUG
rnacentral:rRNA from 1 species